AAUUCAGUGUGUGUUUUUCUGAGACAGUGAUUAAUCUGCACUUUACCGCGGCAUAUUUCCUUGUGUCUAAUGUUAUUCUUAAUGGUUCUUACACACCCCUUUCAGGAAUACAUCUGAAAGCACUUUGCAAAGGUAAUCUCUACAACAAACUUCUCUGUUUAUUUUACAGAUGAGCAAUUCAGGCAAAAAAAAAAAUCACGAAUCCCUAUAAAACAGCAGGAUCAGGAAUCACGUUUGCACUCACAUCACUUGGGCCAGUAACAGGAACAUGGCUCUCAUUGCAAGAAGGCCUUGGCUGUUGGAGCUGGCUGGAGCAGUUGAUCAGCUUACCUACUGUCUUGCCAGGAUCAGGGCUUGAGUGAGGGCAAGCUGGCUGUGACCCAACCCAGAUAAGUCAAAGGUUGUGCUAACAGGUUGGGGAAGAGAAGAAGCUGGGAGAACUUCUGCUCUCUAUGACAAUAGCUUGCUUUUUAUUGUUCAGCUUUCCAGACCCAGAGACCUUUGUAUACUGGCUUCUGACCAUCAAUUAAUAAUAAGAAGAAUGAAAGAUGGUCUGUUUGCUUUUUGUUGGGCUGCUUUUCUGGACCAGAAGGUGGAGCCCAUUCUUUUGAACAUGGGUCUUUCCUAUACCAAGUCAUCUAGAGAGUGGACUUCAAAAACUGUCCCUUAAUCAGGAGCAAUGCAAGCUUUCCUCUGCCCAGGCCAAAGCAGGAGUUUGAUGUGCAGCUUCCCCUGCCCACAGUGGUGGCAGUAAACAGAACUGCACAGUAAACAGAAAUAAGAUGCAAAAGCAUUUGCAUCCCGUGCAGUGGAUGCUGGAAAUGUGGGUAUCCACAGGACAGGUUCUUCAUCCUGAGGCUGGUUGGCAGAGCCUAGGCAUCCCAGAUAAUGCUUAUUUGUCAUCCUUGGAAGAAUAAGUUCCUCCUUUAUGUAGCUUUUCUGCUGUUCACAGGUACAAAGGGAUAGCCCUUUUAGCAGGGCCUGUUGUGAUGAAACAAGGCAUAACGGCUUUAAACUAAAAAAGUGUUGAUUUAUACUACAAUUUUUAUUACAAAAAAGGCAGUGAAACACUGACAGGUUUCCCAGAGAGGUAGUGAAUGCCCUGUCCCCAAGAACAUUCAAGGUCAGGUUGGACAGGGCUCUGAGCAAACUGAUCUAGCUGGAGAUGUCCCUACUCAGGACAAGGAGGUUGGAUGAGAUAACCUUUAAAAGUCUUCUCCAACACAAACUAUUCCAUGAUUCAAUGAUCCUAUGACUUAAUGUCUCUGUAUUGUGACCUUUCCUCAUUCAGAUGAGUGCAAGCAAAUCAGCAUUUUGCUUGACCUAACAAACAAGAGCCUAGAUGCAAAUGCUAGAAACAAAUAUGGAAUUUUUCACAGAACAAAACUGCCUGGGUGGCAGUCAGCCUCGUCAUGGUGCUGAGCCAUGAGCCAU